rnacentral:antisense_RNA from 1 species
CUUGAGCGACCCCAGCCACAGCGGCUGUCCGGCCGGCCGGUCCCGCCCGUAGGUGGCCAGGACCGCCUGCGCCUC